UGAACGCUGGCGGCGUGCCUAAUACAUGCAAGUCGAGCGAACAGACGAGGAGCUUGCUCCUAUGACGUUAGCGGCGGACGGGUGAGUAACACGUGGAUAACCUACCUAUAAGACUGGGAUAACUUCGGGAAACCGGAGCUAAUACCGGAUAAUAUAUUGAACCGCAUGGUUCAAUAGUGAAAGACGGUUUUGCUGUCACUUAUAGAUGGAUCCGCGCCGCAUUAGCUAGUUGGUAAGGUAACGGCUUACCAAGGCAACGAUGCGUAGCCGACCUGAGAGGGUGAUCGGCCACACUGGAACUGAGACACGGUCCAGACUCCUACGGGAGGCAGCAGUAGGGAAUCUUCCGCAAUGGGCGAAAGCCUGACGGAGCAACGCCGCGUGAGUGAUGAAGGUCUUCGGAUCGUAAAACUCUGUUAUUAGGGAAGAACAAAUGUGUAAGUAACUAUGCACGUCUUGACGGUACCUAAUCAGAAAGCCACGGCUAACUACGUG
rnacentral:rRNA from 1 species